rnacentral:rRNA from 1 species
GACAGAGGAUGCAAGCGUUAUCCGGAAUGAUUGGGCGUAAAGCGUCUGUAGGUGGCUUUUUAAGUCCGCCGUCAAAUCCCAGGGCUCAACCCUGGACAGGCGGUGGAAACUACCAAGCUGGAGUACGGUAGGGGCAGAGGGAAUUUCCGGUGGAGCGGUGAAAUGCGUAGAGAUGUGGAAGAACACCAGCGGCGAAGGCGCUCUACUGGGCCAAGACUGACACUGAGAAACGAAAGCUAGGGGAGCGAAAUAGG